rnacentral:rRNA from 1 species
CCUACGGGGGGCAGCAGUGGGGAAUAUUGCACAAUGGGCGAAAGCCUGAUGCAGCAACGCCGCGUGAAGGAAGAAGGGUUUCGGCUCGUAAACUUCUAUCAACAGGGACGAAAGAAAUAACGGUACCUGAAUAAGAAGCCCCGGCUAACUACGUGCCAGCAGCCGCGGUAAUACGUAGGGGGCAAGCGUUAUCCGGAUUUACUGGGUGUAAAGGGGGCGCAGACGGCAAUGCAAGCCAGGAGUGAAAGCCCGGGGCCCAACCCCGGGACUGCUCUUGGAACUGCAUGGCUGGAGUACAGGAGGGG